rnacentral:sRNA from 1 species
GUGUCAGCCCUGGCUGCAGGCCUCCAUUUAUCUAUAGCAGGGGUACCAGCUUCCCCUAGCAUCAGUGUCUCUCUCCUGUUGUGGAAGGACCCUCUCUAGGACCCAGAGGGGAGUUCAGUCACCAGGGCCCAUUCAAUCCUUGGCUUCU